rnacentral:rRNA from 2 species
GGGAUUGCCUUAGUAACUGCGAGUGAAGUGGCAAAAGCUCAAAAUUGAAAUCCGGUACCUUUGGUGCCUGAGUUGUAAUUUGGAGAGACAAAUUUGGUUGAUGGCACCGGCCUAGGUUCCUUUGAACAGGACGACAUAGAGGGUGAGAAUCCCGUGCCUGGCUGGGUUAUUUGCUGUCACACGCUAAAUUGUCUUCGACGAGUCGAGUUGUUUGGGAAUGCAGCUCAAAAUGGGUGGUAAAUGUCAUCUAAAGCUAAAUAUUGGCGAGAGACCGAUAGCGCACAAGUAGAGUGAUCGAAAGAUGAAAAGCACUUUGAAAAGAGAGUCAAAAAGUACGUGAAAUUGCUGAAAGGGAAGCGCUUGAGAUCAGACUCGAGCUGUGGUGAUCACCCGUGCUUCUGUGCGGUGUAACUUGCCACGGUUUGGGCCAGCAUCGGUUCUGGCGGUCGGAUAAAAGGUGGAGGAAUGUAGCUUCCCUCGGGGAGUGUUAUUUAGCCUCCACCACAAUGCGGCCAGCUGGGACCGAGGACUGCGUGGAAAUUUUCCGCUAGGAUGCUGGCGUAAUGGUCUUAAGCGACCCGUCUUGAAACACGGACCAAGGAGUCUAACAUUUAUGCGAGUGUUCGGGUGGAAAACCCUUGCGCGAAAUGAAAGUGAUCCAGGUGGGAACCCGCAAGGGUGCACCAUCGACCGAUCCCGAAGUCUUCGGAAGGAUUUGAGUAGGAGCACAGAUGUUGGGACCCGAAAGAUGGUGAACUAUGCUUGAAUAGGGUGAAGCCAGAGGAAACUCUGGUGGAGGCUCGCAGCGGUUCUGACGUGCAAAUCGAUCGUCAAAUUUGGG